GGAGGGUGUUGCUAGGAGGGCUGCAAUGGGCCAAGGAUUUUUUUUGGCGCGUCACUUGAAGUGACAGAAGACGUAAGAGCCAGGGAACCACUGGGCUAAUUACAUCGGGAGAAUGGCGACUGCUCUAAGGGUGAGAGACAAGAGAGAUCUCUUCAUAGUGAUGAAAACAAACAAACAAACAACAACAAUAAAACCAAAAAAGACAGCCCGGCAUCCCAGCCAGAACUCCUGGAGAUAAGUUCCGACUCCUCUCAGGGAGCCGUUUUCUUUAAGAAGGCAUAAGAAGCCAUCUUGGCUAUCAGGAUUAAAAUAAGGAUUACCAACGUGACAGUAAUCAUAAGGAAACCUUAUGUCUACUUCACUCAAUGCUUGUAACUUCGUUCCAAUAAGAGACUGAGCUAACUUGUGUUAUGGCUCCAUAAGCACUUCCACCGAGCCUGACAGAUGACAGAGAUUCCCAGAAACCACGUGGAAAAAAGAACCAACUCCAGCAAGUUGUUCCCUGGCCUCUCUGCCCAUGCACCUUGACAUAUUUGUGCACACAAGAACACAAAAUACUUGUAAUAAAACAUGUUUUAAAGAUGACA
rnacentral:lncRNA from 1 species